GAGAAGAACGUAGUGAAAUGCGAUAAGUAAUGUGAAUUGCAGAAUUCAGUGAAUCAUCGAAUCUUUGAACGCACAUUGCGCCCCUUGGUAUUCCGAGGGGCAUGCCUGUUCGAGCGUCAUUAUAACCCCUCAAGCUCAGCUUGGUGUUGGGGCCUGCUGCACUGGCAGCCCUUAAAAUCAGUGGCGGCGCCAUCUGGCUCUAAGCGUAGUAAUUCUUCUCGCUAUGGAGUCCUGGUGGAUGCUUGCCAUCAACCCCCAAUUUUUCUAUGGUUGACCUCGGAUCAGGUAGGGAUACCCGCUGAACUUAAGCAUAUCAAUAAGCGGAGGA
rnacentral:misc_RNA from 1 species